rnacentral:misc_RNA from 1 species
AAAAGUUUUAAACUGUCUUGUAAUCAUAGUGACUAUCAGUUGGGGUAAUAACUCCUUUUUUCACGACCCAAUGACAUUUUUUAUGGUGAAGUGACAUAUACUGCACAAUACCUCACUAAUCGUCACUACAUUGUGCUCAAGUUACUGCAAAAUGUCUUAACAUUAUAGAUUCGCAGGCUUUCAUUUUAAAAAAUUCAUUCAUAAGUUCGCCUUGCCCUCCACAUGUCCAUUUUGUAAACCAAAGUGAAAUUGCCACCUGUGAAAUUUUAAGUUAUCCCUGUGGGAUAUGAUGUG